GGUUGUAGGUUCAGAGUCCUCCGAGCCCAGUGAUGGGGUCCAGAGAAGAGGUUAGGAGUCCAGUGAUGGGGUCCAGAGAAGAGGUUAGGAGUCCAGUGGUUGUAGGUUCAGAGUCCUCCGAGCCCAGUGAUGGGGUCCAGAGAAGAGGUUAGGAGCCCAGUGAUGGGGUCCAGAGAAGAGGUUAGGAGCCCAGUGAUGGGGUCCAGAGAAGAGGUUAGGAGCCCAGUGGUUGUAGGUUCAGAGUCCUGUGUUGGGGUCCAGAGAAGAGUUUAGGAGCCCAGUGGUUAUAGGUUCAGAGUCCUGUGUUGAGGUCAAGAGAAGAGUUUAGGAGCCCAGUGGUUAUAGGUUCAGAGUCCUGUGUUGGGGUCCAAAGAAGAGGUUAGGAGCCCAGUGGUUAUAGGUUCAGAGUCCAGUGGUUAUAGGUUCAGAGUCCAGUGGUUAUAGGUUCAGAGUCCUGUGUUGAGGUCAAGAGAAGAGGUUAGGAGCCCAGUGGUUAUAGGUUCAGAGUCCAGUGGUUAUAGGUUCAGAGUCCAGUGGUUAUAGGGUCAGAGUCCUCGGAGUCCAGUGGUUAUAGGGUCAGAGUCCUCGGAGUCCAGUGGUUAUAGGUUCAGAGCCCCUAGAGCCCAGUGGUUAGAGGUUCAGAGCCCUUGGAGCCCAGUGGUUAGAGGUUCAGAGCCCUUAGAGUCCACUGGUUAUAGGUUCAGAGCCCUUAGAGCCCAGCUAUAAUCCAUCAGAAACCCGAGAGCUGCUUCUCUCUCAUGUUAAUAAUCCAACAGUCGUGGAUAUGUCUUUAAGCUGGUGAGAAAUACCAAAAUAUCCUAGUGAUGAUCCACAUAGCAGUCAGACUGAAUCAGAGAUGUUAUCUUAAUGGUCAAAGACCCUUUCAGUUUAUACAUACGCCAUAUUAUCCUUGUUUGAAGCUCCACUCACGACCACAUCAAAAGAAAAGCUAUUCCUGUUGAAGAACAAGUCCCAACGGAUUGUUGUCAUCCUCUAAAAAAUAUAGUUCUCCCCGAAAAGCCAAUCAUAUUGUCUGUCUGUCUGUCUGUCUGUCUGUCUGUCUGUCUGUCUGUCUGUCUGUCUGUCUGUCUGUCUGUCUGUCUGUCUGUCUGUCUGUCUGGAAUCCUUUGAAUGCAGUGAGUGUCCUCCUCAGAUCCGCGGGCCGGUGUGUUUGUAAUAGAAAAAGGGUGUGUGUGUGUUCUGGGUGGGUGUGUUCUGUGUAUGUGUGUGUUCUCUGUGUGUGUGUCUCUCAGCUGUCUAGGUGGCUGUCUCUCACUGAGUCUCUGACUCCAGGUAGUUUCAUGGUCACGGUGCCUCUCUCUCUCUCCUCCUGCCAGGAUGUUACAACAGGAGCAACAGGACCGGUAGCUCCUCUGUCUUCUCAGUCCUCAGCAUAGUCUGGUCCGUCUGCCACAUCUCUGCUAGAAUUGGUACUGCCUCUCCUCUCUAUCUGCUCUGACUGACUCCUUUGGUUGUUUGUCCUUCUCUUCCUUCUCUUCCUCCUGCUGCUGCUCCUAUAAAGUCACAAACUGAGUGACGCUGACAGCCGGUAGACCACAGCUGCAGAGAGAGAGGGAAGGAGGGAGGAGAGAGAGACUCGUUUCCAGGAGUGGAGGGAAAAGCAGGGAAGAAGAACCAGCAUUGUGCAGCUUCAAUGAAUGGUGCUCUCUCUCUUUCUCAAAUAAAAUGGAAUAAAAUGGUAUUUGUCACAUCCACCAACUACAACAGGUGUAGACUUUACCGUGAAAAUGCUUGCUUACAAGCGCUUACCAAAGAUGCAGAGUUAAAAAAUAACAAUAAAAAGACAAAUAGUAUAACAUGAGGAAUAAAAUACACAAUAAUGGA